rnacentral:rRNA from 1 species
UACGAAGGGGCUAGCGUUGCUCGGAAUCACUGGGCGUAAAGCGCACGUAGGCGGAUUGUUAAGUCAGGGGUGAAUCCUGGAGCUCAACUCCAGAACUGCCUUUGAUACUGGCGAUCUCGAGUCCGGGAGAGGUGAGUGGAACUGCGAGUGUAGAGGUGAAAUUCGUAGAUAUUCGCAAGAACACCAGUGGCGAAGGCGGCUCACUGGCCCGGUACUGACGCUGAGGUGCGAAAGCGUGGGAGCAAACAG